rnacentral:pre_miRNA from 1 species
AGACUUUUCCUAGUCCCUGAGACCCUAACUUGUGAGGUAUUUUAGUAACAUCACAAGUCAGGCUCUUGGGACCUAGGCGGAGGG